rnacentral:rRNA from 1 species
UACGAAGGGUGCAAGCGUUACUCGGAAUUACUGGGCGUAAAGCGUGUGCAGGUGGUUUGUUAAGUCUGCUGUGAAAGCCCCGGGCUCAACCUGGGAAUGGCAGUGGAUACUGGCAAGCUGGAGUGCGGUAGAGGGUAGUGGAAUUCCAGGUGUAGCGGUGAAAUGCGUAGAUAUCUGGAGGAAUACCGGUGGCGAAGGCGGCAUCCUGGACCGGCAUUGACGCUGAGGAGCGAAAGCCAGGGGAGCAAACGGG